AUGGAUUUCAGGUCGAAGAUGCAUGGGCGGGGGGCGGCGGCAUUUGCAGAGACGGCGGGGGCUAUGAAACUCACGGGAGGCCUGAAGGUCGGUGGAGCUGCUGCGGCUGUAGUAACUGCAACCACGGCUGACAUAUCUGGGAAAGAUAGACAUGAUCACGCGAACAAAUGCAAUCGCAUGCCGAGCUGCAGGAAGGAGCACGGCAGGACGAAUUGCGAUGCUACGCAGAGAAGUUAUAAAGAACGAUACCAAGGCAGCAGAAAAACUACUCCCUCCGUCAUAUCGGUUGUAAUAUCUUAUAAUAUGGGACCGAGGGAGUAG
rnacentral:rRNA from 1 species